rnacentral:rRNA from 1 species
AACCAAAAAUCUAGCCUGUAACAACAUUAUAACCUCCACUCCCACAUACUAAUAAUAUAAAACAUUUUAACUUUUUAGUAAGGGCGAUUAAACGACUUGUAAGAGCUUAAGAAACAGUACCGAAAGGGAAAGAUGAAAUAAAAAUUAAAUAAUUUUAAAGUUAACUAAAGCAGAGACUCAAGCUCGUACCUUUUGCAUCAUGGUCCAGCCAGUCCAACCAAGCAAAAAAUUUUUUAGUUUGGACCCCCGAAACUAAGCGAGCUACUUCAAAACAGCUUCAAGAGCCAACCCGUCUCUGUGGCAAUAGAGUGGGAAGAUUUUCAAGUAGAAGUGAAAAGCCUAACGAGCUUAGAGAUAGCUGGUUAUUCAGGAAAAGAAUAUUAGUUCUGCCUUAAAUUUUUACAUGCUGUAAAACAGACCCUAAAAUUUAAGAGUUAUUCAACUAAGGCACAGCUUAAUUGAAAUAGGGUACAACCUACACACCAGGGUAAGCCAUUAAAUUUUCAUUAAGUGGGCCUAAGAGCAGCCAUCUUUAAAAAAGCGUUAAAGCUUAACCAAUCUCAUUUAUAAAUUUCACAAAUUUAUGUAAACCCGCACCCGAUACUGAACGACCCCAUAAAAUAUGGGAAACAUUAUGCUGGAACUAGUAACAAGAAUUUAAUAUUCUCCACAAUGCAAGCAUAAGCCAAAAUAGACCAACUAUUGGCCAUUAACGAAAAUGAGCAAACUACAGCAACACAACAAGAAAACCCUGUAUAUUACUCUCGUUAACCUAACACCAGAGCAUUUACGGAAAGAUUAAAAGAGAGAGAAGGAACUCGGCAAAUCUUAACCCCGCCUGUUUACCAAAAACAUCGCCUCUUGAUAGCUAUAAGAGGUCCAGCCUGCCCAGUGAUAAAUUCAACGGCCGCGGUAUCCUAACCGUGCGAAGGUAGCAUAAUCACUUGUUCUUUAAAUAGGGACUCGUAUCAACGGCAUCACGAGGGUUACACUGUCUCCUCUUUCCAAUCAGUGAAACUGAUCUUCCCGUGAAGAAGCGGGAAUGAACUAAUAAGACGAGAAGACCCCAUGGAGCUUUAAACCUCACAGCAACUCUAACAUAUAUUUCCCCAUAACCCGCAGAGCAAUGCUAGUCGGUUUUAGGUUGGGGUGACCGCGGAGCAAAAACUACCCUCCACGACGAACAGAACUAAAUCUUUAUCCAAGAGCAACCACUCUAAGAACUAGCACACUAACGUAUCAUGACCCGAUAAUCGAUCAACGGACCAAGUUACCCUGGGGAUAACAGCGCAAUCUGCUUCAAGAGCCCAUAUCGACAAGCAGGCUUACGACCUCGAUGUUGGAUCAGGGUACCCCAGUGGUGCAGCCGCUACUAACGGUUCGUUUGUUCAACGAUUAAAAC